rnacentral:rRNA from 1 species
GUGGGGAAUAUUCCGCAAUGGGCGCAAGCCUGACGGAGCAACGCCGCGUGAAUGAAGACGGUCUUCGGAUUGUAAAGUUCUGUCAUUAGGGACGAAGGACUCAUGUAAAUAAUAUGAGGAAUGACGGUACCUAAGGAGGAAGCUCCGGCUAACUACGUGCCAGCAGCCGCGGUAAUACGUAGGGAGCAAGCGUUGUCCGGAAUUACUGGGCGUAAAGGGCGCGUAGGCGGAUAAUUAAGUCAGAUGUGAAAUCUCCAGGCUUAACUUGGAGCGUGCAUUUGAAACUGGUUAUCUUGAGGGCAGGAGAGGAAAGUGGAAUUCCUAGUGUAGCGGUGAAAUGCGUAGAUAUUAGGAGGAACACCAGUGGCGAAGGCGACUUUCUGGACUGAACCUGACGCUGAGGCGCGAAAGCAUGGGGAGCGAACGGGAUUAGAAACCCCGGUAGUCC